GAGGGAUGACGGCCUUCGGGUUGUAAACCUCUUUCAGUAGGGAAGAAGCGUAAGUGACGGUACCUGCAGAAGAAGCGCCGGCUAACUACGUGCCAGCAGCCGCGGUAAUACGUAGGGCGCAAGCGUUAUCCGGAAUUAUUGGGCGUAAAGAGCUCGUAGGCGGUUUGUCGCGUCUGCCGUGAAAGUCCGGGGCUCAACUCCGGAUCUGCGGUGGGUACGGGCAGACUAGAGUGAUGUAGGGGAGACUGGAAUUCCUGGUGUAGCGGUGAAAUGCGCAGAUAUCAGGAGGAACACCGAUGGCGAAGGCAGGUCUCUGGGCAUUAACUGACGCUGAGGAGCGAAAGCAUGGGGAGCGAACAGGAUUAGAUACCCUGGUAGUCCAUGCCGUAAACGUUGGGCACUAGGUGUGGGGGACAUUCCACGUUUUCCGCGCCGUAGCUAACGCAUUAAGUGCCCCGCCUGGGGAGUACGGCCGCAAGGCUAAAACUCAAUG
rnacentral:rRNA from 1 species